UACGUAGGCAGCAAGCGUUGUUCGGAGUUACUGGGCGUAAAGGGUGUGUAGGCGGUUGUUUAAGUUUGGUGUGAAAUCUCCCGGCUCAACUGGGAGGGUGCGCCGAAUACUGAAUGACUCGAGUGCGGGAGAGGAAAGUGGAAUUCCUGGUGUAGCGGUGAAAUGCGUAGAUAUCAGGAGGAACACCGGUGGUGUAGACGGCUUUCUGGACCGUAACUGACGCUGAGACACGAAAGCGUGGGGAGCAAACAGG
rnacentral:rRNA from 1 species